rnacentral:rRNA from 1 species
AGAGUUUGAUCCUGGCUCAGAUUGAACGCUAGCGGGAUGCUUUACACAUGCAAGUCGAACGGCAGCACGGGAGAGCUUGCUCUCUUGGUGGCGAGUGGCGGACGGGUGAGUAAUAUAUCGGAACGUGCCCAGUAGCGGGGGAUAACUACUCGAAAGAGUGGCUAAUACCGCAUACGCCCUACGGGGGAAAGGGGGGGAUCGCAAGACCUCUCACUAUUGGAGCGGCCGAUAUCGGAUUAGCUAGUUGGUGGGGUAAAGGCUCACCAAGGCAACGAUCCGUAGCUGGUUUGAGAGGACGACCAGCCACACUGGGACUGAGACACGGCCCAGACUCCUACGGGAGGCAGCAGUGGGGAAUUUUGGACAAUGGGGGAAACCCUGAUCCAGCCAUCCCGCGUGUAUGAUGAAGGCCUUCGGGUUGUAAAGUACUUUUGGCAGAGAAGAAAAGGCAUCCCCUAAUACGGGAUGCUGCUGACGGUAUCUGCAGAAUGAGCACCGGCUAACUACGUGCCAGCAGCCGCGGUAAUACGUAGGGUGCAAGCGUUAAUCGGAAUUACUGGGCGUAAAGCGUGUGUAGGCGGUUCGGAAAGAAAGAUGUGAAAUCCCAGGGCUCAACCUUGGAACCGCAUUUUUAACUGCCGAGCUAGAGUAUGUCAGAGGGGGGUAGAAUUCCACGUGUAGCAGUGAAAUGCGUAGAUAUGUGGAGGAAUACCGAUGGCGAAGGCAGCCCCCUGGGAUAAUACUGACGCUCAGACACGAAAGCGUGGGGAGCAAAAAGGAUUAGAUACCCUGGUAGUCCACGCCCUAA